GUUUAACAGACAGGAGCAUUCUAAAGGCGCAGUUUGACUAUCUUUGCACGGUGCACAAAAUGCAUCAUUUCCUGUCCAGGAAAACAGUUGAGAGGAGACAAACAGCUUCAGCAAAAAGUGAAGAUUACCAACUUCAUAAAGCUGAAGAUGUGUGGGAGUCAACUGCAGAGUGGAUUUGUAACAGACUCCUGGUGUCUUCAUUGGCAGGCCCAGCAUGGUGGAUCUCCAAGAUGAAAAGUCUGACAGCCUGAGACAGUCUGCUCUGCAUCUUCAGUAGGUGGGCACACUGCCCAGUGCUCAGUAAGCGAAUUAGGUGGGCAGUAUGCCCAACACUGCCCCUCCUGACUGACAGAGGCCCUGCCGAGCGGGCUUUAGCUCCACAAGGAGAAAGUUAUUAAUCAGAUGUGUUUGCUUCUUCUUGCUUUUCCUGCAGAGGAGGAGGAGGAGGGGAGACCUGGCUUGGUGAUGAAUGCCCUCACUUCUACACGUUUCAAAAGUACAGUUUAUCCAUGAGGAAUGGAGCAGCUUGUACAUGGGCUGAGGGGAAAUUGCCUUUUCCUUUGACCUGCAGCCACGGCAGGGUUCUGGGGGUGUGCGGGUUGACAGGUUGAGCUCUGGGAGGUCGAGAGGGCAAGGUCAGCAUUUGCAGAUUGCGGGACAGAAAGCUGAGACAGCACGGCCUUCAGUGGGAACGCAGUGUGCAGCAGGAAUGGCCAGGCCAUGCAGAGUCACAGAGAACCAAGUCCUUGAGCCGUGAGUAGAGAAGAAAUCAACACAAAUCCAUAGAGUCUGGACGUGGGCUGGCUCGCAGGCCCCGGUGCCCUGCGUAUGUGUGCACUCAUUGGCAUAUGGUGUUUUGCUCAAAAUGGAUUAGACAGAACCCCUCAUGAAUUUUGUGAAAGCCCAGGAUAUUGCAGCGCACCACAGAGAGAUAAACAAAUUAGUGCUUUUAUCAUGUCUGCCUUUAAUUGAUAUUCAUGAAUGCAGUAUUUCAUAUGCAACAAAAGGUUUGGUCCAAUGAUAA